AUUGAACGCUGGCGGCAUGCUUUACACAUGCAAGUCGAACGGUAACAGGCCUUCGGGUGCUGACGAGUGGCGAACGGGUGAGUAAUGCAUCGGAACGUACCCAGAGGUGGGGGAUAACGCAGCGAAAGCUGUGCUAAUACCGCAUGUGAUCUGAGGAUGAAAGCGGGGGACCGAGCAGCAAUGUUUGGCCUCGCGCCUUUGGAGCGGCCGAUGUCGGAUUAGCUAGUUGGUGGGGUAAAGGCCUACCAAGGCGACGAUCCGUAGCUGGUCUGAGAGGACGACCAGCCACACUGGGACUGAGACACGGCCCAGACUCCUACGGGAGGCUGCAGUGGGGAAUUUUGGACAAUGGGCGCAAGCCUGAUCCAGCAAUGCCGCGUGCGGGAAGAAGGCCUUCGGGUUGUAAACCGCUUUUGGCAGGAACGAAACGGUGUCCGCUAAUACCGGGCGCUAAUGACGGUACCUGCAGAAUAAGCACCGGCUAACUACGUG
rnacentral:rRNA from 1 species